rnacentral:rRNA from 1 species
GUGAGGAAUUUUCCGCAAUGGGAGAAAGCCUGACGGAGCAAUGCCGCGUGAAGGAUGAAGGCCUAUGGGUUGUAAACUUCUUUUCUCAGAAAAGAAUUAUGACGGUAUAUGAGGAAUAAGCAUCGCCUAACUCUGUGCCAGCAGCAGCGGUAAGACAGAGGAUGCAAGUGUUAUCCGGAAUGAUUGGGCGUAAUGCGUCUGUAGGUUGUUUAAAAAGUAUUCUGUCAAAGAUUAGGGCUUAACCCUAGAUAGGCAGAAUAAACUUUUAAGCUAGUGGUGGGUAGAGGCGUAAGAAAUUCCCGGUGGAUCGGAGAAAUGCGUAGAUAUCGGGAGGAACACCAAAGGCGAAGGCACUCUGCUGGGCCAAGACUAACACUGAGAGACGAAAGCGAGGGGAGCAAAUGGGAUUAUAAACCCGGGUAGUCC